rnacentral:rRNA from 1 species
CCUACGGGGGGCUGCAGUGGGGAAUAUUGCACAAUGGGCGCAAGCCUGAUGCAGCCAUGCCGCGUGUGUGAAGAAGGCCUUCGGGUUGUAAAGCACUUUCAGCGGGGAGGAAGGCGUUAAGGUUAAUAACCUUGGCGAUUGACGUUACCCGCAGAAGAAGCACCGGCUAACUCCGUGCCAGCAGCCGCGGUAAUACGGAGGGGUGCAAGCGUUAAUCGGAAUUACUGGGCGUAAAGCGCACGCAGGCGGUCUGUCAAGUCGGAUGUGAAAUCCCCGGGCUCAACCUGGGAACUGCAUUCGAAACUGGCAGGCUAGAGUCUUGUAGAGGGGGGUAGAAUGCCAGGUGUAGCGGUGAAAUGCGUAGAGAUCUGGAGGAAUACCGGUGGCGAAGGCGGCCCCCUGGACAAAGACUGACGCUCAGGUGCGAAAGCGUGGGGAGCAAACAGGAUUAGAUACCCUAGUAGUC